rnacentral:misc_RNA from 1 species
UACCGUCUAGCAGUUAUCAAUCAGGAGGUAUUCUUGUUUGUAAUUUCAGUUUGUACCUUGUGUUGAUUUUUGGCAGUUGUUUAUUUGGAAAAUCGUCUAAAAAGUGAAAAUCAUCUUCGUCGAGACGUGAAGUUAAUUGUUGUUUUCUUGUUCGUCAUUCCUUGGUUCUAAUAUGUGAGGUGAAAGGUGGUGAAACAUGUCAAACUUUAUUAGCCCAAGCUCUACAAGACAAUCCGAUGAUACUAUGGAUGAUGAUGCCGACAACAAAGAUGACACUAAAAGAAAAACAAGAAAUUUAAGCGAGAAGAAAAGGCGGGAUCAAUUUAAUAUACUGAUAAAUGAACUUAGCUCCUUGGUUUCAACGAAUAGUCGGAAGAUGGACAAAUCCACUGUUCUAAAGUCGACAAUAUCGUUUUUGAAAAAUCACAACGAUAUUGCUGUACAAUCGAGGGUUAAUGAAAUACAAGAGGACUGGAAGCCUUCUUUCCUCUCAAAUGAAGAGUUCACACAUCUCUUUUUAGAAGCUUUAGAUGGAUUUAUAAUAGUUUUCACCUCGUCUGGGAGGAUUCUGUAUGCUUCUGAAAGCAUAACAUCUCUUCUUGGACACUUUCCUAAUGAUUUACUUGCAAUGACUUUGUAUGAUAUCGUAUAUCAAGGGGACCACUCAGAACUGUACAAUAUAUUCUUAAAUCCUUCUGAUUAUGAAAAUAACAAAGAAGAUGAAUUAUGUUUUACAUGCCAUUGUCGUCGUGGUGGUACUGAUAUUAAGGAAGAACCGUUGUAUGAGGUAGUCCAGUUUCUUGGUAAUUUCAGGAGUGACAUGGAUACUCUUUGUGAUAAUAGCCUAAAUGGACGUUAUACCACAGAAGGAGAUACAAGAUGGGUUUUUGUCGGCACUGGGAGAUUACAAACACCACAACUUAUAAGAGAGCUUUCCGUUAUCGACUCAACAAAAUGCGAAUUUACUUCACGCCACAGCUUGGAGUGGAAGUUUUUAUUUCUUGACCAUAGGGCCCCUCCAAUUAUUGGUUAUUUGCCGUUUGAAGUUCUGGGAACAUCUGGGUACGAUUAUUAUCACAUUGAUGAUUUAGAUAAGGUAGUUACGUGCCAUGAAGCUUUAAUGCAAAAGGGAGAAGGGACCUCGUGUUACUACAGAUUUCUUACCAAAGGGCAACAGUGGAUUUGGCUGCAGACAAGGUUUUAUAUAACAUACCAUCAAUGGAACUCAAAGCCAGAAUUCAUUGUAUGCACACACCGGGUCGUUAGCUUUCACAAUGUAUUAAAACAAGGUAACGGAGCGUAUGAAACUAUUGAAGGAUUGGAAAAGGACAAGUCAUACGAGCGGAAUCAAUACUCCACUAUUUCUAAAUCCACAGUAAAAUCAAAAUAUGGGACGAUGUCUUCAAUUCUGAGCAGUGGAGUCUUUUAUGUGCCAAGCUUUAAGCAGUUAUAUCAUCAUCAUCAUCAUCUUCAUCAACAACAACAUGGCUAUACAAAUUUUGUAAACAGGAAAAGCAAAUGGGAUCAGACACAAAUUCAAUGUCAACAGAUUCCCCUCUAUCAAGGCACUCGCAACUCACUUCUCUUAGUGCUCAAUCGAGGCCGGGAAAAGUCGGCAGCACCGUCAAGAGUGAAAACAAAAGCUCAACAAGCGAAAGGACAGGCUAUACGACCCAGUCUUUUACAGUUGUCGGCAUUCCGACUCAAUCCGUCAUCACAACCAUUCCCCCACAGAGGGUCGACCAGCUGGAGAGAAGGCAGGAAGAGCUUCAACAAAGAAUAGUCGAACAGCAAACGGAGCUGCGGCAAGUGACUGAGCAGCUUUUUAUGGCCAAGUAUGGCCUUUUCCCACCAGUUUUGAAUGUUUCCCUUCCUUACACAGUUACCCAGGCUGUAAAUAUCUCAAGCCCAGACCUUUACGCAACUCACUCAUCAAGGGCUGUUCCUCCAGUAAUUAUUGACCCCCUUCAACAAGUUCACUCGUCAGACGGUUACACACUCUCACAACACCAGGCUGAGAUUAUGUUUAACCCUGCCAUCGACUCGCCUAACUCUACACCCACCAGUCAUUAAGUAAGUA